CUACAAGUGAAUAAUUUAUUGUAAAAUUAUUAUUUAUAGUAAACAUGAGUUAUAUAUCUUUAUGAUUUUAUUAUUACUCAGUAACACAUCUUAGUUUAAACCAGCUAUCUAAAAGUCAUUAAAUCUUGACAACCUGUCACUAUGAGAGUCAUUGAAACUUUGACAAGUUAGAGGUUUUUGCUACAUUGUCAUCCCCCCAUCCCCCAGACGUGAGAGGGCGUGCUGGGGCGGUCAAUGUCAAUAUUAAAUAUUAAAUUAUCAGAAAUAGAUAACCUGGAGUUUGGUGGUAUUAGUGUCGUGAAAAAUUCCCGACUGCAUGCAAUACUGUAGUCGUUUAAUAGAUUAAUAGAUAAAGUUUUUACCCUAAAACGGCCGGCCGUCCAACUUCAAGCUGAAAUUCAAUUCUCCACCAUUAUUCUCUAAUCUCUCGAAUGCACCAGGCUAACACAGAUGUCAAGCUCACUUGUCCUCCUUGAAUAGCAUCAGGCGUCUUUCGCACGGCCUGAUUAUUUCGCUGGUCGAUAUCCGAGCAUCAGCUAGGGGUUUGAUAUUUUCGCGGAAAUCUUGGCUUUACUUUGCUUCAAGCAAGCCGCUCUGCGUACUGAUGUAAUUUCUGCGUCUUGGUGUAUUAAUUCCAGGCUGCGAGCAGGCUAUGUUUAAUUUGAUUUAUUAGGAUUCCAGUGUUGGCACGAUGUAGUCUACAUAAAUCCUCGUUUGGUAUCUUCUCACACGAAACCAUGUCUUUGGUAAAAUUGGCGCGAAAUUGCUCCAGAGGAAUCGCAUUCAAAACGCGUAACAUGACCUUGACGCGUAAUAUACAAUUACUUUAUGGUUUCCGUGUUUGGAUGGCCUGAUCCAAACACGCGGGAAUGUUGCGAGAGUUAAGAAAAGCGAGCGAAAUCACGAGCCGGUGAUUUUGCCCGCUUUUCUUAACUCGAGCAACAUUCCCAAGUGUUUGGAUCAGUCCAUCCAAACACGGAAACCAUAAAGUAAUUGUUUUAUAAAAUAACAACAACACGGUAGUCUUCCGUGUUUGGAUGGCCUGAUCCAAACACGGCUUUCGACCAAUCAGAAUACGCGUUAUAUACAUGUUAUUUUAUAACAUGGCUUGCUGUUCAAGAAAUCCUCGUUCACUUUAUGCUGCCGCUGAAUGACCAAAAUACCAAGCGAUGUAAUUUCCAUUAUAUGGCUGCUUCGCCUUGGUCCCUCCUACUGUACGGUGCUGCGACGAACGUCGUCAUGUCUGACUUAUUGAAUUAAAUGAAUUUCGUGAGUCAAACUCUUGAAUAUCCUUACACCCUCUUGCCUUCGGUUUGACUUGAGAUAACCGUCUAUUUUACCAUUGUACGCAUACUGGCAAUUUCAAUCUCCAUCGAGAGAGGUUGAAAAUACGCAGUGGUAUCGCCACAUUCUUAACGUACGUUUGUGGUCUUUUUAUAUAAGCUGCG